rnacentral:rRNA from 1 species
AUUGAACGCUGGCGGCAUGCCUUACACAUGCAAGUCGAACGGCAGCGGACCUUCGGGUGCCGGCGAGUGGCGAACGGGUGAGUAAUGCAUCGGAACGUACCUUUCAGUGGGGGAUAACGUAGCGAAAGUUACGCUAAUACCGCAUAUUCUGUGAGCAGGAAAGCAGGGGAUCGCCAGACCUUGCGCUUAUUGAGCGGCCGAUGUCAGAUUAGCUAGUUGGUGAGGUAAAGGCUCACCAAGGCGACGAUCUGUAGCGGGUCUGAGAGGAUGAUCCGCCACACUGGAACUGAGACACGGUCCAGACUCCUACGGGAGGCAGCAGUGGGGAAUUUUGGACAAUGGGGGCAACCCUGAUCCAGCCAUGCCGCGUGAGUGAAGAAGGCCUUCGGGUUGUAAAGCUCUUUCGGCCGGGAAGAAAUCGCACGGGCUAAUACCCUGUGUGGAUGACGGUACCGGAAUAAGAAGCACCGGCUAACUACGUGCCAGCCGCCGCCGUAAUAC